rnacentral:rRNA from 1 species
GAUACCCCACUAUGCCUAGCCGUAAAAUAUUUAUUUACACCUUAUAACGCCAGAGAAUUACGAGCGCAAGCUUAAAACUCAAAGGACUUGACGGUGUCCCAUCUACCUAGAGGAGCCUGUUCUAUAAUUGAUAAUCCCCGAUAAACCUCACCACUUUUAGCCUAUUCAGCCUGUAUACUUCCGUCGCAAGCUUACCGUAUGAACGAACAAGUAAGCUUAAUGAUCAAUUCACCAAAACGUCAGGUCAAAGUGCAGCCAAUAAAGUGGGAAGAAAUGGGCUACAGUUUCUUAGUAUAAGAACAAACGAAAAAUCACCUGAAACACUGGAUCAUGAAGGCGGAUUUAGAAGUAAAAUGAAAAAAGAGUGUUCAUUUUAACUAAGCCCUGGGACGCGUAC